rnacentral:rRNA from 1 species
UAAUACAGAGGUCUCAAGCGUUAAUCGGAAUCACUGGGCUUAAAGGGUGCGUAGGCGGACCGGAACGCGUCCCGUGAAAUCCCCCGGCUCAACCGGGGAACUGCGGGGCGAACGGACGGUCUUGAGGCAUAUAUGGGCGGGCGGAACUGUAGGUGGAGCGGUGAAAUGCGUAGAUAUCUACAGGAACGCCGAUGGUGAAGACGGCCCGCUGGAUAUGUCCUGACGCUGAGGCACGAAAGCGUGGGGAGCAAACAGGAUUAGAUACCCUGGUAGUCCACGCCGUAAACGAUGCGCACUAGAUCGGUGCCGCUCUGACGCGGUAUCGGUCGUCGUAAAAACACUAAGUGCGCCGCCUGGGGAGUACGGUCGCAAGGCUA